rnacentral:other from 1 species
AACGGUCUGCGGUGUUCGUGGUAUGGAAAAUUCGUAAUCCACAAUGAAAUUUAGGGAGCGAGCCGUUCGUGGAAAUAGGCAAGGUCUGUUUUUCGGAAAGUCCGAGUUUUCACUUCGCCGCACCCACCUGCGAGAUGCGGGUUAAUACUUUUUCAUAUCACGGCACAGGCGGAUUUUGU